rnacentral:rRNA from 1 species
UCAUCUCCGGGGGUAGAGCACUGUUUCGGCUAGGGGGCCAUCCCGGCUUACCAACCCGAUGCAAACUGCGAAUACCGGAGAAUGUUAUCACGGGAGACACACGGCGGGUGCUAACGUCCGUCGUGAAGAGGGAAACAACCCAGACCGCCAGCUAAGGUCCCAAAGUCAUGGUUAAGUGGGAAACGAUGUGGGAAGGCCCAGACAGCCAGGAUGUUGGCUUAGAAGCAGCCAUCAUUUAAAGAAAGCGUAAUAGCUCACUGGUCGAGUCGGCCUGCGCGGAAGAUGUAACGGGGCUAAACCAUGCACCGAAGCUGCGGCAGCGACACUCAGGUGUUGUUGGGUAGGGGAGCGUUCUGUAAGCCUGCGAAGGUGGCCUGUGAGGGUUGCUGGAGGUAUCAGAAGUGCGAAUGCUGACAUAAGUAACGAUAAAGCGGGUGAAAAGCCCGCUCGCCGGAAGACCAAGGGUUCCUGUCCAACGUUAAUCGGGGCAGGGUGAGUCGACCCCUAAGGCGAGGCCGAAAGGCGUAGUCGAUGGGAAACGGGUUAAUAUUCCCGUACUUGGUGUUACUGCGAAGGGGGGACGGAGAAGGCUAUGUUGGCCGGGCGACGGUUGUCCCGGUUUAAGCGUGUAGGUGUGUGUUCCAGGUAAAUCCGGUUCACUUUAACACUGAGGCGUGAUGACGAGGCACUACGGUGCUGAAGCAACAAAUGCCCUGCUUCCAGGAAAAGCCUCUAAGCAUCAGGUAACAUCAAAUCGUACCCCAAACCGACACAGGUGGUCAGGUAGAGAAUACCAAGGCGCUUGAGAGAACUCGGGUGAAGGAACUAGGCAAAAUGGUGCCGUAACUUCGGGAGAAGGCACGCUGACACGUAGGUGAAGUGAUUUACUCAUGGAGCUGAAGUCAGUCGAAGAUACCAGCUGGCUGCAACUGUUUAUUAAAAACACAGCACUGUGCAAACACGAAAGUGGACGUAUACGGUGUGACGCCUGCCCGGUGCCGGAAGGUUAAUUGAUGGGGUCAGCGCAAGCGAAGCUCCUGAUCGAAGCCCCGGUAAACGGCGGCCGUAACUAUAACGGUCCUAAGGUAGCGAAAUUCCUUGUCGGGUAAGUUCCGACCUGCACGAAUGGCGUAAUGAUGGCCAGGCUGUCUCCACCCGAGACUCAGUGAAAUUGAACUCGCUGUGAAGAUGCAGUGUACCCGCGGCAAGACGGAAAGACCCCGUGAACCUUUACUAUAGCUUGACACUGAACAUUGAGCCUUGAUGUGUAGGAUAGGUGGGAGGCUUUGAAGUGUGGACGCCAGUCUGCAUGGAGCCGGCCUUGAAAUACCACCCUUUAAUGUUUGAUGUUCUAACGUGGACCCGUGAUCCGGGUUGCGGACAGUGUCUGGUGGGUAGUUUGACUGGGGCGGUCUCCUCCUAAAGAGUAACGGAGGAGCACGAAGGUUGGCUAAUCCUGGUCGGACAUCAGGAGGUUAGUGCAAUGGCAUAAGCCAGCUUGACUGCGAGCGUGACGGCGCGAGCAGGUGCGAAAGCAGGUCAUAGUGAUCCGGUGGUUCUGAAUGGAAGGGCCAUCGCUCAACGGAUAAAAGGUACUCCGGGGAUAACAGGCUGAUACCGCCCAAGAGUUCAUAUCGACGGCGGUGUUUGGCACCUCGAUGUCGGCUCAUCACAUCCUGGGGCUGAAGUAGGUCCCAAGGGUAUGGCUGUUCGCCAUUUAAAGUGGUACGCGAGCUGGGUUUAGAACGUCGUGAGACAGUUCGGUCCCUAUCUGCCGUGGGCGCUGGAGAACUGAGGGGGGCUGCUCCUAGUACGAGAGGACCGGAGUGGACGCAUCACUGGUGUUCGGGUUGUCAUGCCAAUGGCACUGCCCGGUAGCUAAAUGCGGAAGAGAUAAGUGCUGAAAGCAUCUAAGCACGAAACUUGCCCCGAGAUGAGUUCUCCCUGAGACUUUAGGUCUCCUGAAGGAACGUUGAAGACGACGACGUUGAUAGGCCGGGUGUGUAAGCGCAGCGAUGCGUUGAGCUAACCGGUACUAAUGAACCGUGAGGCUUAACCUUACA